GGGUCUCGAGCACAAGGUCACGGCGCCGCCAUCUUUGUUUGAAUUGUUUUCCGCGCCCCGGAUAUGACGUGCAGGUAGCGUCCUGAAAACGGGAAUCUUGCCGGUUCUGUCCACAGCAGGACUCAUAUCUGCAGAAGUGUGUUUCAGGUGAGGGCAGUGGGCAGGAAGAGGCUGAAGAGUUUUGAGAGGUGUGGCGUGAGAUCAGACUUGGGGAGUUGGGUUGAGGACCGUCUCUCGUGCUAGGGGCUGUAUUAACAGCAUGUAUUAACCCAGGAGUAGAGGAGAAGCACCUAAGCUAGCAGGAGACAGGAGACAUACAAGAUCAUCAUGGCAGAACCAGGAGGUGAACAAUCUUCAGGAGCACCUCAUGGCCUCCUGCCUAAGUCGGACUGUUCUGGGAAUGCAAUGACCCCCCACUCAGAGGUUUCAGCAGUCAUGGACAUGUGCAUAAAAACUGAGCCUGUUGAGCAGGACAUUUCUCACCGUGAAUAUUGUACUGAGAUAAAGAGCUU